GACGAACGCUGGCGGCGUGCUUAACACAUGCAAGUCGAACGAAGUGGCGAACGGGUGAGUAAUACGUGGGUAACCUGCCCUCCUUUUUGGGAUAAGCCUAGGAAACGGGGUCUAAUACCGAAUAAAGGGGGAUGGGCUCGGGGCCUAUCGGCUGGUUGGUGGGGUGAUGGCCUCACAAGGCGGUGACGGGUAGCCGGCCUGAGCGGGUGACCGGCCACAUUGGCACGGAGAUACGGCCCAGGCGCCGACGGGAGGCAGCAGUGGGGGAUAUGGCAGAAGGGGCGAUAGCCUGAUGCAGCGUCGCCGCGGAGGGGAUGAAGGCUGUCGGGUUGUAAACCUCUUUCGCUAGCGAACGGGUAGGUGGAGAAGAAGCGCCGGCUAACUACGUGCCAGCCGCCGCGGUAAUUC
rnacentral:rRNA from 1 species